CUUGAAUAGAGAAAUAAAAUAUCAGUGUAAAUCAGGAUAUAUAACACCAGAUGGUAAAACUUCAGGAUCAAUUAUAUGUCUGGAAAGUGGAUGGUCUCCUCAACCCACAUGUAUUAAAAUAGAAUGCAAGUUUCCAGAAGUAGAAGAAAACUUAAUUGCUGACCCCAGAAAGGACAAAUACAGAGUUGGAGAUGUGUUGAAAUUCUCCUGCAGAUCAAGACUUAAAAGAGUUGGACCAGACUCAGUUCAAUGUUAUGACUUUGGAUGGUCCCCUAACUUUCCAACAUGUAAAG